UUAAAGACUAGGCUCACAAACAAAAAUAUAAGAUUAUAUUUGUAGCUUUGUAUCUGUGUUCCUGAACUUUGGUUUAUUUAAUUUCAAAGUACUUGGAAUUACUUUAAGACAUUGCUUUAAAAAAAAAAGAUAUUGCUAUAUAUAAUAAGUUUUACUUAGAACAGGAAGGGAAUAAUCACUAAGUUAGUUGAGCAGAAUUUAGAAAGUUUUCUGUGGGUUUGAAUGAUGAUUUUCUAAAAAUUAAUAGAAUGAUGUAUUAGGGUAAUGUCUUACCAGCCUGAAGUUGAAUAUCUAGUCAUAGGUAACCUAAUACACAUAGCCUUGUAUUGAAUCUUUUUAAUUGACACUAGGUGUAGCCUUGGCUGUCCUGGAACUCCCUCUGUAGACCAGGCUGUCCUCAAACUAAAGAGUUCCACCUGCUUCUGCCUUGCAUUGUGUUUUUCCUGCAUAUAUGUCUGUAUGAGGGUGUUGGAUACCCUGAAACUGAAGUUACAGACAGUUAUGAGCUGCCACGGGAGUUCUGGGAAUUGAACCUAUAUCUUCUGGAUGAGCAGCCAGCGUUUUUAACUGCUGAGUCAUCUCUUCAGCACCUUGUAUUGAUUGUCUGAAUGUAUCUAUGUAUCUGUGUAUGUGUGAGUUUGAUCCCCUGAACCCAUUUGGUGAUAGGGAGGAGAGACUUUAUUCCUGCAAGUUGUCCUCUGACUGUGGUAUACUGCACACGUACAAGCACACAUAAAAAUAAUGUAAUUGAAAGUAAAAUUAAAAGUUGUAUUGACAAGCAAUUCUGAAUACCGUAUUGCUGAAAUAUCAGUAAUAAGUGUUAGAACUCCUUUAGUAAAACUUGUUCAAAAAGUACAGUUGAGUUAUUCAGCAUUUUUAAUGCAGAUUAUGUGAAGAGUCAUCUUUAUUUUGUGGUUUGUUAUAUUCUUCCUCUGCCUUUUUCAUUUUGAGUCCCUGAAAUCUGUUCUAUAUUUACUUGUGUGUCUACAUACUAAAACCAUCUCUGAAUCAUGCUUUGAAGAUCAGCAAGAGAUACUCCGCUGUAUGAUGAGAGGUGACUAUUAGAGGCAUAAACAAGUCUUAGUAAAUUAGGAGAUGUUUGUUUCAGCAGUAGCAAUGUAAUCCCAAACGCUUGUUGGUGCUAUGACUGAAGAAAUUUUUAUUUACUGUGUAUUUAUUGUACAUUGUUACAGAUUAGGACUUUGUGCUUCCUGGGCAACUGCUCUGUCACUGAACUAUAUUUCCAGGCCUGCCUACUUAAUUCUUUAAAUCUCUUUUUAAGAGUUCAAGAGAGGGCUGGAGAAAUGGCUCAGUGGUUAAGAGCACCGACUUCUCUUCCAGAGGUCCUGAGUUGAAUUUCCAGCAACCAUAUGGUGGCUUACAACCAUCUGUAAUAGGAUCUGAUGCCCUUUUCUGGGGUGUCUGAAGACAGCAACAGUGUGUGUGUGUGUGUGUGUGUGUGUGUGUGUGUGUAUACAUACACAUAUACAUAUAUAUGUAUAUGAGGCCAGCCUGAUUCACAUAGGAAGUUCCACGACAGCUGGGGCUGCAUAAAGAGACCCUGUCUCAAAAACCAAAACAAAUGAAAGAACCCUACUUUAUCUCCAUUUUUUAUUGUAAAAUGACAGUUGAAUAGAAUUAAAAUCCAAAUUAAGCAACCCUUAAACUUAUAAGGCUUGCUAGACUUUGGUCGACUUAGAUUGAAAUUGUUCAUGCUUUAUAUUUUUAAAUGUCAUCCUUACUAAAUAUUAUGGAGUAUAUCUAAUGAUAUGCCCAAUUAUUUUUUAAUUUUAGGAUUUUAUUAUAAUAUACGAUAUCAUGAUAAAAUAUUGC
rnacentral:lncRNA from 1 species